UUCAAUCCCCCAGUGAUGGAGGGUUUGGAUGCUCAGCUUGCAGUAAGCCUGCUAUGCCUUGAUGCUGCAUCGUUGGUAUUCACCCAUGGUUUUUGUUUCAUUCCAUUAACCUGUGAGGGUGCUGCUUUUCAUAAAUCCAAGCAUUUAGCAAAGAGGAUCGAUCAGGAUAUGGAUGGGAAUGAACAAACCCUUAAACCUAAAGUCAGCUGUAAAUGUACAGAUUAUUCAGAUUAUAAAGUUUAUUUUAUUUACAGUGUACUAUUCUCCUAUCUUCAGGAGAUUGGAGAAAAACUAUCAUAAAUCGGAGGCAGGUCGUUGCUUGGCAAAGAACUCGUACAUGUUGUAAGAAAAUCAAGGGAGAAUCUAGCCAUUCAGGUGAAGCAUCCAGAGGAGGUGGAGCAGCAAGCCAACAUCCAUCUUAACCUACCACCUAGCGGCUGGACUGCCCCUUGCAGCGAACAUGGUACCUUGCAAAACUAUUUGUGUUUUUUGCCGUUCGCGUUGCGUGGCCACUUCGUUUGCUUGCACUGUGCUCCGAUCUGGUGAAGGGCGCCAAGGAGAAGCAGCUCAAGGUCAAGGGCCCCGCCAGGAUGCCCACCAAGGUGCUCAACAUCACCACCAAGAAGCCCCCCUUGGAGAAGGUAGUCGCCUACCACUCAUGUGAUCUAAAAUAACAUUAUGUAAAACAAUCUAAUGAGCUAUGGGUCCAGCCAAAUGCUGAAUCAUCUAUUCCUUCAUCUUCUUAAUUAGUGAGUGGGGCAAAUCUUUUACUUUGAUUCAAAAAUAGUCAGGUUCACAAAAUUUGCAUGCAGCAGC